rnacentral:rRNA from 1 species
AUUGAACGCUGGCGGCAUGCUUUACACAUGCAAGUCGAACGGUAACAGGCCGCAAGGUGCUGACGAGUGGCGAACGGGUGAGUAAUGCAUCGGAACGUGCCCAGUCGUGGGGGAUAACUACUCGAAAGAGUAGCUAAUACCGCAUACGAUCUAUGGAUGAAAGCGGGGGACCGUAAGGCCUCGCGCGAUUGGAGCGGCCGAUGUCAGAUUAGGUAGUUGGUGGGGUAAAGGCUCACCAAGCCAACGAUCUGUAGCUGGUCUGAGAGGACGACCAGCCACACUGGGACUGAGACACGGCCCAGACUCCUACGGGAGGCAGCAGUGGGGAAUUUUGGACAAUGGGCGCAAGCCUGAUCCAGCAAUGCCGCGUGCAGGAAGAAGGCCUUCGGGUUGUAAACCGCUUUUGUACGGAACGAAACGGCUCUGGUUAAUACCCGGGGCUAAUGACGGUACCGUAAGAAUAAGCACCGGCUAACUACGUG